rnacentral:sRNA from 1 species
AUGUAGCGCUUGUACACUGCGGUCCUGCGCGCCGUCCGCCCGCCUGGCGACUGCUUGCGAUGUUUUGUCAGCC